GCCCCCAUAGCUCAGAGGAUAGAGCGUUGCCCUCCGGAGGCAAAGGCCCAGGUUCGAGUCCUGGUGGGGGUACCA
rnacentral:tRNA from 1 species